UACGGGGGGGGCAAGCGUUGUUCGGAAUUACUGGGCGUAAAGGGCUCGUAGGUGGCCAACUAAGUCAGACGUGAAAUCCCUCAGCUUAACUGGGGAACUGCGUCUGAUACUGGAUGGCUUGAGUUCGGGAGAGGGAUGCGGAAUUCCAGGUGUAGCGGUGAAAUGCGUAGAUAUCUGGAGGAACACCGGUGGCGAAGGCGGCAUCCUGGACCGACACUGACACUGAGGAGCGAAAGCCAGGGGAGCAAACGGG
rnacentral:rRNA from 1 species